CCUACGGGUGGCUGCAGUGGGGAAUAUUGGACAAUGGGGGCAACCCUGAUCCAGCCAUGCCGCGUGUGUGAAGAAGGCCCUCGGGUUGUAAAGCACUUUCAGUGAGGAAGAACGCCUGGUGGUUAAUACCCAUCAGGAAAGACAUCACUCACAGAAGAAGCACCGGCUAACUCCGUGCCAGCAGCCGCGGUAAUACGGAGGGUGCGAGCGUUAAUCGGAAUUACUGGGCGUAAAGCGCGCGUAGGUGGCUUGAUAAGCCGGUUGUGAAAGCCCCGGGCUCAACCUGGGAACGGCAUCCGGAACUGUCAAGCUAGAGUGCAGGAGAGGAAGGUAGAAUUCCCGGUGGAGCGGUGAAAUGCGUAGAGAUCGGGAGGAAUACCAGUGGCGAAGGCGGCCUUCUGGACUGACACUGACACUGAGGUGCGAAAGCGUGGGUAGCAAACAGGAUUAGAUACCCUAGUAGUC
rnacentral:rRNA from 1 species